GAUCUUUCCUUCUUUUAGGCAGAAACGAUAUUUUGAUUUUGAUUAGUGAUAUUUCAUUUUUUUUGGCAGAAACGAUAUUCAAAAUUUCUUUGAAGGUAAUUUUGUAUCCGGUUUCGUAAUGAAUAUUACGAUAUUGCUAAGGCAUUCAGGAAUAUGGGAGAGUGAGGUUAAAUACAAUCAAUACAAAAGUGAUGGGAUCGUGGUUGGGGAAAAUAUUUCAUAUAUGAAUCUAAUCUCAACAAUUGCUACUGAAUUAAAUAUUGAUGAAUUGAAAAGAAAUAUUAUUAUCCGAUAUAUUGUAGAGGACAAUUCUUCUCCGAUGAUAAUUAGGAAUGAUAUGGGUGUGAAGCUGUUUAUAGAAAUAAAGAAGCAAGAGGGUUGGAUUCAGUAUGUAUCCGCUUUGCAUCGAUACAAAUGAUAAAAGUACAGAGGAGUGACAAAAUUUUGAUUCAAGUAGUGGUGCAAUUAUGUGUAUUGAAGGUGGACAAAGAGACGUUAAUGCUCUAAACGUUGUUAAAUCAAACAUUGGUGAUUCUUGUUACAUACCCGAGAUGGAGAAAGAAAAUUAUAUAUCAGAUACAAAUAUAUCAAAUGUGGAGGCAAAACAAUUGUACAAGGAUAAAGCAACUCUUGUGGCUGUAAUGAUGAAAUACAAAUUAAAACUAGCUUUAAUUUUAGAGUCAAACGGUCCGAUACAAAAAGAUAAAUAUUACGUUGUUGAUGCUGGUCUACGGAACACAAGAGGAUUUUUAGCUCCUUCAUUGGAAUGCGCUAUCAUUUGCAGGACUACCGAGGAAGUGAAAGAGAGUCUAAGAAUGGAAAAGAGCUAUUUAACUAUAAACAUACUUCUCUGCGCAAUGUAAUUGAAAGAACUUUUGGUGCAUGGAAAAGUAGAUUAAGAAUACUAAGACAAGGCAUGAACAACUAUGAAUGUGACAUGCAAGUGAAAAUAGUAAUUGCUUGCGCUGUAUUGCAUAAUUUUUUACGUGAACACCAAAAUAGUGAUGGAAUAUUCAAUGAAAAUGAAAAUGAUGAUAUGGUUGUUGAUGAAAGUGACGAACUACUGGCUCAGGGUAACAACAUCGCUUCAUUUUCUCGAUCGUCUGAUUCGAAAAUGUAAGCUCAUCGAGAAGCAAAUUGUUCAUAAAAUGUGGGAAGAUUAUAUUAAAGAAUAGGUUGAACUCUUUCAGAUGAGAAAGCAUAUGUUCUUCAGUGAUUGCAAUAUUUAUUUCCUUUUGUUUUCUUCUCUUUUUUUUCCCGAAUUUAUAUUAGUUGUAUUUUCAUUAUCAUGAUUUGUACCAAGACCUUUUCACUAUACGAAUAUUUAUCGUAA